rnacentral:rRNA from 1 species
UGCAGUCGAACGAUGAUCUCCCGCUUGCGGGGGUGAUUAGUGGCGAACGGGUGAGUAAUACGUGAGUAACCUGCCCUUGACUCUGGGAUAAGCCUGGGAAACCGGGUCUAAUACUGGAUACUACUCCUCAUCGCAUGGUGGGGGGUGGAAAGGGUUUUACUGGUUUUGGAUGGGCUCACGGCCUAUCAGCUUGUUGGUGGGGUAAUGGCUCACCAAGGCGACGACGGGUAGCCGGCCUGAGAGGGUGACCGGCCACACUGGGACUGAGACACGGCCCAGACUCCUACGGGAGGCAGCAGUGGGGAAUAUUGCACAAUGGGCGGAAGCCUGAUGCAGCGACGCCGCGUGAGGGAUGACGGCCUUCGGGUUGUAAACCUCUUUCAGCAGGGAAGAAGCCACAAGUGACGGUACCUGCAGAAGAAGCGCCGGCUAACUACGUGCCAGCAGCCGCGGUAAUACGUAGGGCGCAAGCGUUGUCCGGAAUUAUUGGGCGUAAAGAGCUCGUAGGCGGUUUGUCGCGUCUGCUGUGAAAGCCCGGGGCUCAACCCCGGGUCUGCAGUGGGUACGGGCAGACUAGAGUGCAGUAGGGGAGACUGGAAUUCCUGGUGUAGCGGUGAAAUGCGCAGAUAUCAGGAGGAACACCGAUGGCGAAGGCAGGUCUCUGGGCUGUUACUGACGCUGAGGAGCGAAAGCAUGGGGAGCGAACAGGAUUAGAUACCCUGGUAGUCCAUGCCGUAAACGUUGGGCACUAGGUGUGGGGGACAUUCCACGUUCUCCGCGCCGUAGCUAACGCAUUAAGUGCCCCGCCUGGGGAGUACGGCCGCAAGGCUAAAACUCAAAGGAAUUGACGGGGGCCCGCACAAGCGGCGGAGCAUGCGGAUUAAUUCGAUGCAACGCGAAGAACCUUACCAAGGCUUGACAUUCACCGGACCGCACUGGAGACAGUGCUUCCCUUCGGGGUCGGUGGACAGGUGGUGCAUGGUUGUCGUCAGCUCGUGUCCUUGAGAUGUUGGGUUAAGUCCCGCAACGAACCGCACCCCUCGUUCUUUGU